GAUGAACGCUGGCGGCGUGCCUAAUACAUGCAAGUCGAGCGAACGGACGCGAAGCUUGCUUUUCUGAUGUUAGCGGCGGACGGGUGAGUAACACGUGGAUCACCUACCUAUAAGACUGGGAUAACUUCGGGAAACCGGAGCUAAUACCGGAUAAUAUUUUGAACCGCAUGGUUCAAUAGUGAAAGACGGCCUUGCUGUCACUUCUAGAUGGUUCCGCGCUGCAUUAGCUAGUUGGUAAGGUCACGGCUUACCAAGGCAACUAUGCAUAGCCGACGUGAGAGAGGGAUAGGCCACACUAGAACGGGGACGGGGUCCUGGCUCCUACGGGACGGAGCAGAAGGGAAUCGGCCGCAGUGGGGGGAAACCUGACGGAGCGACGGCACGUGAGUGAUGGAGGUCCUCCGAGCGUGAAACUCUGCUAUGAGGUAAGAACAGAUGUGGAAGUAACUGUGCAGAGCUUGACGGUACUUAAUCAAAAAGCCACGGCUAACUACGUG
rnacentral:rRNA from 1 species